rnacentral:rRNA from 1 species
AUUGAACGCUGGCGGCAGGCCUAACACAUGCAAGUCGAGCGGAUGAAGGGAGCUUGCUCCUGGAUUCAGCGGCGGACGGGUGAGUAAUGCCUAGGAAUCUGCCUGGUAGUGGGGGAUAACGUCCGGAAACGGGCGCUAAUACCGCAUACGUCCUGAGGGAGAAAGUGGGGGAUCUUCGGACCUCACGCUAUCAGAUGAGCCUAGGUCGGAUUAGAUAGUUGGUGGGGUAAAGGCCUACCAAGGCGACGAUCCGUAACUGGUCUGAGAGGAUGAUCAGUCACACUGGAACUGAGACACGGUCCAGACUCCUACGGGAGGCAGCAGUGGGGAAUAUUGGACAAUGGGCGAAAGCCUGAUCCAGCCAUGCCGCGUGUGUGAAGAAGGUCUUCGGAUUGUAAAGCACGUUAAGUUGGGAGGAAGGGCAGUAAGUUAAUACCUUGCUGUUUUGACGUUACCAACAGAAGAAGCACCGGCUAACUUCGUG